UACGAAGGGGACUAGCGUUGUUCGGAAUCACUGGGCGUAAAGCGCACGUAGGCGGAUAUGUAAGUCAGGGGUGAAAUCCCGGGGCUCAACCUCGGAACUGCCUUUGAUACUGCGUAUCUUGAGUUCGAUAGAGGUGGGUGGAAUUCCUAGUGUAGAGGUGAAAUUCGUAGAUAUUAGGAAGAACACCAGUGGCGAAGGCGGCCCACUGGAUCGAUACUGACGCUGAGGUGCGAAAGCGUGGGGAGCAAACAGG
rnacentral:rRNA from 1 species